rnacentral:rRNA from 1 species
GACGAACCGUGCGAACGUUGUUCGGAAUCACUGGGCUUAAAGGGCGCGUAGGCGGGCAGGCGAGUCCGGGGUGAAAUCUUUCGGCUCAACCGGAAAAGGGCCUCGGAGACCGGCUGCCUCGAGGAAGGUAGGGGCAUGCGGAACUUCCGGUGGAGCGGUGAAAUGCGUUGAUAUCGGAAGGAACGCCGGUGGCGAAGGCGGCAUACUGGACCACCUCUGACGCUGAGGCGCGAAAGCCAGGGGAGCAAACGGG